rnacentral:lncRNA from 1 species
GUCGCCUGCCCCUGCCGCUGCCGCCGCCGCCGUCGCUGUCGUAGUCGCCGCCGCCGCUGCCGGAGAAAGAGCACGAGCGGGGAAGCCCCAGAGUGAAAUCUAGCAUCCUGCCGGCUGGUCUGCCCGCCCCUCCUUCCUUUUCCCCCCGGCCCCCGUCCCCUCCCCCCGCAGGUGCCAUCCGCCGCCAUCCGCCCUCUCUACCCCCCCAUCCCCAGGUGAGGGGGGUGAGUUCAGGAAGCGGAGACCCCGAGGAACCCAGCAGGGUCACCAUUUGCAGCGCAACAUGGCAGGAGCUGGAGGAGGGAAUGAUAUUCAGUGGUGUUUUUCUCAGGUGAAAGGAGCAGUAGAUGAUGAUGUAGCAGAAGCAGAUAUAAUUUCUACAGUAGAAUUUAAUCAUUCUGGAGAAUUACUAGCAACAGGAGAUAAAGGUGGUAGAGUUGUCAUCUUUCAACAGGAGCAGGAGAACAAAAUCCAGUCUCAUAGCAGAGGAGAAUAUAAUGUUUACAGCACCUUCCAGAGCCAUGAACCAGAGUUUGACUACUUGAAAAGUUUAGAAAUAGAAGAAAAGAUCAACAAAAUUAGGUGGUUACCCCAGAAAAAUGCUGCUCAGUUUUUAUUGUCUACCAAUGGUAA